AUGCAUCGGAGCUGUAUAAGGACAUUGGAAGCUUGGCUGUAAUUUGGAGAUGUACAAGGACACUGGCAUGCAAGAGGCAUUGUAGUUGUACAAGCCGCGACGGCAAGUCCACUACGCCGCAACCGCCCGAAAUUUGUGCUAUCUCGGUUUCGACUACAUUUUUUAGAGAUGCAUUUCCAAACUGAAGGAGAGGGUUGCCAGAGGAGGAGAUCGUACAUAGUUGCAUAAACCCCACCAGUGGAAGGUGUCAUACCAGAGGUCACGCGUGGGUUGAAACUGCAGACUAUGAUGAAUCCAUGGUCCAACUCUAUCGGCUGCUCCUUUGCUCUCACCUCACCCUUGCAUGAUGUUGGUUCGCGACGACCAUCGAGGGAGAGGGUUGCUAGAUGAGAAGAUCCUACAGAAUUGCAUAAAGAGCUAGUGGAAGAAGUCAUACCAGAGAUGGAGCCACACAGGAAGUCUUAGGGAUGGAAACUUCAUCGACGGAGUUGGUGAAAGAAGAUAUACAUCCAACACUGGUGGAUAGUAACGAUGCCGAUCCCAUGCAAGUGGAUUUGCUGAAUGAAAUAUACCCACACAGCUGAUCUGGCCAUCAGAUGGAAGUGUGGUCUUCUAUGACAACAUCAUUCAUGUCUUCCUCUGCUCUAGCCUUGACAUCGCGUGCAAGUACGAGGUUAUAUACAAGUCGAGG